rnacentral:tRNA from 1 species
GUUUUCAUAGUGUAGUGGUUAUCACGCUCGCUUCACACGCGAGAAGUCUUGGGUUCGAGUCCCAGUAGAAACA